CAGUCGCCACGGUAAUACAGAGGGUGCGAGCGUUAAUCGGAUUUACUGGGCGUAAAGCGUGCGUAGGCGGCUUAUUAAGUCGGAUGUGAAAUCCCUGAGCUUAACUUAGGAAUUGCAUUCGAUACUGGGAAGCUAGAGUAUGGGAGAGGAUGGUAGAAUUCCAGGUGUAGCGGUGAAAUGCGUAGAGAUCUGGAGGAAUACCGAUGGCGAAGGCAGCCAUCUGGCCUAAUACUGACGCUGAGGUACGAAAGCAUGGGGAGCAAACAGGAUUAGAUACCCCAGUAGUCCCUGUCUCUUAUAC
rnacentral:rRNA from 1 species